rnacentral:lncRNA from 1 species
CAGACUCCGCUAGGAAGACAGCAACAUAGGAUUUACAACUACCGAAUACUGGGUAGAAGACAGCAAAAUCCACCAUCGACCAGAAUGAACCACAAAGGUUACCUCUGCUAGGGGAAGAGAGAUAUGACUUAUAACUACCGAAUACUGGGUAGAAGCCACAACUCUGAUGAGGAUAAAAAGAUUAGGGUUUACAACUACCGAAUACAGGGUAGAAAACCAGAACCUCUGCGUGGGGAGUGAAAGGAUCACAAUUCCG